AAACGGGGUUGCACCCACACACUUGCAACUUUUUGUGUAUGAACACAAAGUCGAAGGAGAAAUCGUGGUGAAAAAACCAAUACAUAUUAAAUCGGCUCCGCGGUGAUUAUAAUUUCCAUACUAAUUUGAGCCGCCUUCGGACCCGUUUCUGAGCCGAAGUCGGACUCAGCUCCGUCUGAGGCGGAGCGGAUUCGGACCGAGGUCGGACUUGUUUGCUUGAAGGGAUAUUACUAUUUUUUUCGCAAAACUAAGGUGAGUUGACAUACAACCCUAUAAUUCUCAGCCAGCGAUAUGAUAAUAGGACAUACUAGAAGAUUGCAGAACUCAAUUUAAAUUUUUGUCGCCAACUUACUGGCCUUCCGAUACUAACAAAAUACCAGACCUUAUUGACUUUUUCGUAGCUAGAGGAAUCAAACGAAAUCACAUUAGUGUCGAAGGUAAUUAUGACCUGUCAUCAGAUCAUACUCCAGUGAUUCUAGCACUAAGGGCCAGUUGUACAAACGUGGUUCAGCCUCGGAUCAGGAACUUAACCCACCGAUUUCGGUGGAUUUGCUGCGGGUCAACUGUGGUUCAAGCAUGAAUGUGGCUAUUUCUACUUAUAUGAACCUUGAACCAGUGCUAAACUUCAGCCUUGCUACCGAUUUCAGAAGAUAAAAGUUGAUGAUCCACGGAUUAAAUAUUUGAACAACUGGCCCUAAGUGAAUCGGAACGGAAGUAAUAGAAAAAAGUAACCCAAAGCUUAUAAAUAAGAAAACAAACUGGAGUGAUUUUAGAGAAAGGCUUUUAAGUUUUAUAAAUUUAAGAUCUCCCAUGGAUACAAUCGAGCAAAUUGACCAUGAAGUGGAACAAUUUAUUGCUGAUGUGCAACAGGGCGGUGAAAAAAAUAAGAGAGUUGAUAAUAGAGAAAAGAAGAGCUCGAAGAAAAUGGCAAAAUACUAGAUUCCCAGAUGAUAAAACAACGUUUGACCGUAUAAGCAACAAUCUUAUAGCCUUUUCACACCAAACCCAAGAACGCGGUUUAUGACAAAAAGUUUUUAAAAGCCUGAAAAGCGGUCACACUACAAGUUUACAGGCUUUUGUUUAACGUUUAAAAUGUUUUGACAUCCAAAUGUCAAGUUUUCAAUGGGAUUUAAUUUUUGUUGUUUAAAUCAGCUUGCGCUAACACAACUGGUCAAAUAAAAUGAACUCUGACAAUUUAAAUAUAAUUUUAUUUAUUUGGUCGUUAAAUUGUGUAGUUUCAUUAUAAUUUCUUCCGGAGAAUAAUAAAUUGUCCGCCCCUCAAAUUCUUUAGACAUUUUGUUGUAAAUAUGAACGUUGU